AAAGAUUAAGCCAUGCAUGUCUAAGUAUAAGCAAUUAUACCGCGAAACUGCGAAUGGCUCAUUAAAUCAGUUAUCGUUUAUUUGAUAGUACCUUACUACAUGGAUAACCGUGGUAAUUCUAGAGCUAAUACAUGCUAAAAAUCCCGACUUCGGAAGGGAUGUAUUUAUUAGAUUAAAAACCAAUGNCCUUCGGGGCUCUCUGGUGAUUCAUAAUAACUUCUCGAAUCGCAUGGCCUUGCGCCGGCGAUGGUUCAUUCAAAUUUCUGCCCUAUCAACUUUCGACGGCUGGGUCUUGGCCAGCCGUGGUGACAACGGGUAACGGAGGGUUAGGGCUCGACCCCGGAGAAGGAGCCUGAGAAACGGCUACUACAUCCAAGGAAGGCAGCAGGCGCGCAAAUUACCCAAUNCCGACACGGGGAGGUAGUGACAAUAAAUACUGAUACAGGGCUCUUUCGGGUCUUGUAAUUGGAAUGAGUACAAUUUAAAUCCCUUAACGAGGAACAAUUGGAGGGCAAGUCUGGUGCCAGCAGCCGCGGUAAUUCCAGCUCCAAUAGCGUAUAUUAAAGUUGUUGAGGUUAAAAAGCUCGUAGUUGAACCUUGGGCCUAGCCGGCCGGUCCGCCUCACCGCGUGCACUGGCUCGGCUGGGUCUUUCCUUCUGGAGAACCGCAUGCCCUUCACUGGGUGUGCCGGGGAACCAGGACUUUUACUCUGAACAAAUUAGAUCGCUUAAAGAAGGCCUAUGCUCGAAUACAUUAGCAUGGAAUAAUAGAAUAGGACGUGUGGUUCUAUUUUGUUGGUUUCUAGGACCGCCGUAAUGAUUAAUAGGGACAGUCGGGGGCAUCAGUAUUCAAUUGUCAGAGGUGAAAUUCUUGGAUUUAUUGAAGACUAACUACUGCGAAAGCAUUUGCCAAGGAUGUUUUCAUUAAUCAGGAACGAAAGUUAGGGGAUCGAAGACGAUCAGAUACCGUCGUAGUCUUAACCAUAAACUAUGCCGAUUAGGGAUCGGANGGCGUUAUUUUUUGACCCGUUCGGCACCUUACGAUA
rnacentral:rRNA from 1 species